rnacentral:tRNA from 1 species
GAGGGCAUAGCUCAAUGGCAGAGCACAUGCUUACCAAGCCCUGGGUCCUGGGUUCAAGCCCCAGUACCUCCU